AUGCCGCCGAGAGACGCCGUUCCGACGUCGACGCAAGUGAGUGGUAUUGGUGCUGACGGGGUUCAAACGGAAAAAGUGCUGAAAAAUCGGCCGAAGGCAAGCGCCCUUCGACAGCAAAAACUCCCCGCAUGGCAACCGAUUCUCACAGCAACCACAGUAAUUCCAACGGUUUUCGUCAUCGGAGCCAUCUUUCUACCCAUCGGCGUCUUCCUAUUCAUCGCUUCCGACGCGGUUUCCGAGUUCACCGUCGAAUACACCAAUUGCUUAUCACCGUGCCAAUUGCAAAUUAAUUUACCAAAUGCGUUCGACGGAGACGUCUUCUUGUACUAUAAUCUCGAGAAUUACUAUCAAAAUCAUCGGCGAUACGUGAAAAGCCGGAAUGAUCAGCAAUAUCUUGGAGAUUUGACGAACGUGAAGGACUGUGCUCCAUUCGACAUUGACCCUGCGACAAAGAAGCCAAUUGCUCCAUGCGGUGCGAUUGCCAAUUCGAUAUUCAACGACACUUUCACGCUGGCUCAUCGUGCCGACACAGGCAUCGUUACCAUGGUACCCGUGACGACUCAGGGUGUCAUCUGGAAUGUGGACAAGGAUCGGAAAUUCAAGAAUCCCCCGUUGAAUGAUGGCAACCUCUGUGACGCAUUCAACGUACUGACGUCAUAAAAUUAAGGUCACACUCACACACACACUGUGCUCGCGCGCAACAGCUGUUGAUGUGUGGGGCUCAUUGUUCUUGUAUAGAGCUGUGUUGACAAUGGGAGAAUAACAAAAGGGGAACAUAUUAAUGGAGAAAUUAAAAAAAAUCAAAUUACAGAAUACCACGAAACCACCGAAUUGGAGCAAAAAUCCGUGUGAAGUUGGCGGUUUUGAGAACGUGGAUUUCAUUGUUUGGAUGCGAACGGCAGCUCUUCCAUAUUUCAAAAAGCUGUGGAGAAUAGUCGACCGGACCACGAAUCCAUUGUUUUCAAAUGGACUCCCCCAGGGAACUUAUAUUUUGACAGUCGAGAAUAACUACCCAGUUCAAUCAUUCGGCGGAAAGAAAGAGUUUGUGAUAUCGACAACAAGUUGGGCUGGAGGCAAGAACUCAUUCCUCGGAAUAGCCUAUCUCGUCGUCGGAUCCCUGGCCAUUGUGCUCGGCGUAGUCUUCAUCGUGAUUCACAUGAAGUUUGGACAUUCGAUGAACGAGUUGAGCAACGUCUCGGAAAUUCAUCACUGA
rnacentral:misc_RNA from 1 species